rnacentral:rRNA from 1 species
UACGUAGGUGACCAGCGUUGUCCGGAUUUACUGGGCGUAAAGAGCGCGCAGGCGGUCGUUCAAGUCGAGUGUGAAAGCCCCCGGCUCAACUGGGGAGGGUCACUCGAUACUGAUCGACUUGAAGGCAGGAGAGGGAAGCGGAAUUCCCGGUGUAGUGGUGAAAUGCGUAGAUAUCGGGAGGAACACCAGUGGCGAAGGCGGCUUCCUGGCCCUGUUCUUGACGCUGAGGCGGACGAAAGCUAGGGGAGCAACGGGG